AUGAAGUUGGAGUUGCUAGUAAUCGCGGAUCAGCAUGCCGCGGUGAAUACGUUCCCGGGCCCUUGUACACACCGCCCGUCACACCAUGGGAGUUGGGAGCGCCCGAAGCCGGUGAGGUAACCGAGAGGAGCCAGCCGUCGAAGGUGAGACCAAUGACUGGGGUGAAGUCGUAACAAGGUAGC
rnacentral:rRNA from 1 species